rnacentral:rRNA from 1 species
AGUGAACGCUGGCGGUAGGCCUAACACAUGCAAGUCGAACGGCAGCACAGUAAGAGCUUGCUCUUACGGGUGGCGAGUGGCGGACGGGUGAGGAAUACAUCGGAAUCUACUUUUUCGUGGGGGAUAACGUAGGGAAACUUACGCUAAUACCGCAUACGACCUACGGGUGAAAGCAGGGGAUCUUCGGACCUUGCGCGAUUGAAUGAGCCGAUGUCGGAUUAGCUAGUUGGCGGGGUAAAGGCCCACCAAGGCGACGAUCCGUAGCUGGUCUGAGAGGAUGAUCAGCCACAUUGGAAGUGAGACACGGUCCAGACUCCUACGGUAGGCAGCAGUCGGGAAUAUUGGACAAAGGGCGCGAGCCUGAUCCAGCCAUACCGCGUGGGUGAAGAAGGCCUUCGGGUUGUAAAGCCCUUUUGUUGGGAAAGAAAAGCAGCAGGUUAAUACCCCGCUGUUCUGACGGUACCCAAAGAAUAAGCACCGGCUAACUUCGUG